AGAAUGAACGCUGGCGGCAUGCCUAACACAUGCAAGUCGAACGAAGGCUUCGGCCUUAGUGGCGCACGGGUGCGUAACGCGUGGGAAUCUACCCUUAGGUUCGGAAUAACAGUUGGAAACGACUGCUAAUACCGGAUGAUGACGUAAGUCCAAAGAUUUAUCGCCUAGGGAUGAGCCCGCGUAGGAUUAGCUAGUUGGUGUGGUAAAGGCGCACCAAGGCGACGAUCCUUAGCUGGUCUGAGAGGAUGAUCAGCCACACUGGGACUGAGACACGGCCCAGACUCCUACGGGAGGCAGCAGUGGGGAAUAUUGGACAAUGGGCGAAAGCCUGAUCCAGCAAUGCCGCGUGAGUGAUGAAGGCCUUAGGGUUGUAAAGCUCUUUUACCCGGAUGAUAAUGACAGUACCGGGAGAAUAAGCUCCGGCUAACUCCGUGCCAGCAGCCGC
rnacentral:rRNA from 1 species